CAACCUUUGACAUGGAGGGUCCAACAUCUCAAGAUCCCUCUGGUGCUUGUGGGUAAACAGACUUAGAAAAACUUUGUUGAAGUAUCACUGACAUUCAACAACUUUCUCAAUUUUGGACGUUGCCGGCUCAUGGAAUGAGUUGAGAAGUAUUACUUUGUUAUGGACUAAAUUGUGUCCUCUCAGAAUUCAUAUAUUGAAGUCCUAACCUCACAGCACCUCAGAAUGUGGCUGUGUUUGGAGAUAAGGUGUUUACAGAGGUAAUUAGUUAAAAUGAGGUCAUUAGAUGGGCCCUCAUACAAUGUGACUGGUGUCCUUACGAGAAGAGGAAAUGAGGACACAGAUAUUCACAGAGGGAGGCCGUAUGAAGACACAGAAAGAAGAUGGCCAUCUUCAAGCAAAGAGAGAGGUCUCAAAAGAAACCAGCCCUGUUGACACCUUGAUCUCAGACUUCUAGCCUUCAGAAUUGUGGGAAAAUAAAUUCCUGUGAUUUAAGCACCCAGUCUGUGGUGCUUUGUUCCAGGAGCCCUAGCAAAAGUAACACAUACUUCGUCAUCAGUUUUCUGGAAGAGUUUGUGCAGAGUUUUCAUUAUUUCUACCUUAAAUUUUUGACAGGAUUCACCAGUGAAGUUAUCUGGGCCUGGAGUUUUCUUCCUGAGAAUAGUUGACCUUAACUAUUCAAUUCAAAUUGAAUAACAAAUUCAAUUUUUUUAAAUAGAUAGAGGCUAUUCAGGUUAUCUGUUUUUUCUUAAGUGAGCUUUGAUACUUGAUGUCUUUAAGAAACUUAUCUAUUUCAUUGGAGUUGUUAAAAUUUAUCACCAAAAAG
rnacentral:lncRNA from 1 species